rnacentral:rRNA from 1 species
AUUGAACGCUGGCGGCAUGCCUUACACAUGCAAGUCGAACGGCAGCACGGGAGCAAUCCUGGUGGCGAGUGGCGAACGGGUGAGUAAUGUAUCGGAACGUACCUUUCAGUGGGGGAUAACGUAGCGAAAGUUACGCUAAUACCGCAUAUUCUGUGAGCAGGAAAGCAGGGGAUCGCAAGACCUUGCGCUGAUUGAGCGGCCGAUAUCAGAUUAGCUAGUUGGUGAGGUAAAGGCUCACCAAGGCGACGAUCUGUAGCGGGUCUGAGAGGAUGAUCCGCCACACUGGAACUGAGACACGGUCCAGACUCCUACGGGAGGCAGCAGUGGGGAAUUUUGGACAAUGGGCGCAAGCCUGAUCCAGCCAUGCCGCGUGAGUGAAG